UGGGGGCAUGGCGGGGCUGUGGGGGGGUGUCGCGUGUGUUUCUUUACGUGUGUUUGUGUUUUAAUUUCUUCCGAGCUUUAGUCCGACCACAUGCUUUCAACCCCUGGAGGACGAAAGUUAAAGAGGCAACACCAUGAAGGCUUUUCUGAAGAGUCCUGAUGGCAUCUUGGCACUGAGGCCAAAGAUAACCACUAUAGGAAGGCAUGAAGACUCUGACAUCAUCCUGAAGUCUCUAGGGAUUGAAGAGCACCAUGCAGCCAUUGAAUUCAGCGAUUCAGAAAACAGCUUCAUUCUCCGGGAUUUCAACUCGACCCAUGGAACGUUUGUUAAUGAUUGCCACAUUCAGAACGCGGCAGUGAAAGUGAGCCCUGGAGACAUUUUGCGGUUUGGCUCCAACGGAACAGGCUUGGAGCUUGUGCUAGAAAAUGGACCUCAGGUAAAGGUCUCCCACCCUCCUGUGAGUCGCCGUGUAGCCUGGCCGGGGCAGCUCCAUUUAGUCACAGAGACAAAGCCUUCAACAGUGGCUGCUUCUCAGUUUCCAUCCCUUCAGUCUCAAAGGUCCCCGCCCAUUAGCCGCAGCUGGUCCUAUGGUGGAAGUGGGACUUUGCCACAUCCACCGCUUAGGAAAAGGCCUGUAAAUGCUUGGGGCAGACCGGUUGCUUCACCUUCUUUCUCUCCUGAUGCGUUCAUCAAGCCUUCUGCACCAAUACCAGGAAGCGGAGCUGCUAUUGGGCCUUUGACAAACGUUCACCAAGGGGAUGCACUUCUCAAGGAAAGGGACGAGGUAAUUCUGAAACUGGGGAAUGAAAUCAGCCGCCUCUCUGGCUUUGAAAGCGAGUGCAGUCACAAAGACACAGUGAUAGCAAAUCUUCAAGAUGAGAUUGCCGUGAUAACAGAGAAGAUGACAGCAGCUCUUGCCAAGAAGGACGCUGAGUUUCAUCAGAAGCUGGUGGAUCUUGAACAAAAUGUUGCCACAAAGACAAAAGAGAUUAAAACCUUGAAAGAGGAGGUUUGCAACUUGCAGAGUAACACUAGUGAAGUGUUGUACCAUUCCCUUUCUGAACGAGACCUACAAAUUGCACACUGGAAGCAAGAAACUGAUGCGCUGAAGAAGAGCUACUCUCUUACAACAGGACUGGUGACCAGUUUGCAAAAAGACAUUACAUCAAAGGAUCAUAACAUCCAGCAAUUGAAAAUGGAGGUGGAGAAGUUUAGGAGAGAAAGCAGGGAGAAAGAUAACCAGCUUGCCAAGGUUUCUGCCCAGUGUGCUAGGAUUAAAGAGGAAAUGAAGCAUGAAUUCAGAGAGAGAGAAGUAAAUGCUUAUCAGAAACAAAUCAGCGACCUGGAGCUACAGGUGAAAAGAUCCAAAGAAGACAUAAAUAAGUUCCGCACGGAGCACGGAAUCUUAACCAACAAACUUGCUGAGAAAACAAAGGCUGAAGGGAACCUGAAAAAAGAGUGCGAGAGGCGAUCCCAACAGUUACAAGAAAUGGGGCGCAGGGAGCGCCUCAAUAAGUCGCAUCUGGAUCUGGCAGCAAAUCAGGCACAGCGCUUUAGACACCAACUUACCAAAGCUCUCUUUUCACAACUUCCAGAGAAGGCACUAACAGAUCAGCAGAUCGUUGAGAAGAUAGAAGAAAUCCAGGUGACCAGGGAAGAGUAUUGCCAAAGGGAGGCACUGCUGAAAGAGGAGUUACUUGCCAAGAACUCUGAAAUUGAGGAAGUGUCUGAAAAUGUUGAGCUGUUGAAGAAAGCAUUGGAUGGACUUCAGGAUUUCUUGGGAACCUCUUACUGCAGCAGCAGCUUGAAGAAAGAGAUAUGUAAUCUCCAGAAUCUGUGCCUGACCCCGCCUGCCUUGGGAGUCCAGGCCUCAACAGCCGGAAUCCUCUGCAGUUUGCUGGGCUGGGUGGAUGCAGUGGAAUGUCUCCUUCGGGAUGUGGGGCUUGAUGUGUCUGGCUCUGGAAAAGGAAUGGCUUCCUACAUGAAGAUGCUGCUGGGCAAACACCAUGAAACCACGGCCAAACUCCAGACGCUGCAGAACCAGCUGAAGAUGGCAGAGAUGUCUCAGGAUUCCCUCCUGCAGGAGAAGCUAAACGAACUGAAAGAAAAACUCGAGAAGCAAUUUCAAGACAGAGAGCAAGAACUUUUGGAGAAUGAGAAGGUACACAGAAAGGUUCUGGAAGGGCUGGCUGCCCUGGAGGAAGCAAAAUUAAAGGAGGCCAUUGAUGAAGAAAAGAAAAAGGUCCAAGAUUUGGAAGUUCAGAUGAAACGAUCGACUGAGGUAAUUGAACUUAAAACAAAAUCAGAAGAAGCUCUAAAUGCCAAGAUAAGGAAGGCUCUGGAGAGCCUAGAAGAGGCUAAGGGGAGAAAGACAGUGGCAGAAGAGAAGCUAAGCGUCUGGGAGAAACGCAUGAAGAGCAUUGAGAAUGAGAAUGAGAUGCAGAAGCGUAAACAUCAGGAGGAGAUAACAGAAUAUAAAGAACAGAUCAAGCAACACUCAAAGACAAUAGUGGACUUGGAAAACAAAUUUGUGGAAGCUGUCCAGAAGCUGAAGGUGGAAAACGAAGAAAAGGCAAAGCUUCAGAAGCAAAUAGAAGACAUGCAGAGGGAAUCUUGCAAGUUGUUGCCAGCUCCUCCACCAGAGGUUCCUUGCCCGGAAGCGUCCAAUGUUUUCCUGAAGGAAGGAUUAGCAGCUGCAAAGCAUGAAAUCGGGUCCAACCAGGCUGUCAUUUCAGAGUUAAAGAAGGAACUCUCAGAAGCCAGAGCCAGGGUGUCUGAUGUGAUUGGAGAACUCAGUGAAAAACAGAAGAUGGAGCUAGAGCAGAAACGGCGUCUUGUCCUCAGCCAAGCCCACAAACUCAACCAGCUUCGAGAGAAACUCUUUGAGAUGUCCAAGCUUGUGGACCAGAAAGAUGCAGACUUCAAAGCACAAAGCGAAGAAUUAAGGAACAUCAGAGGGAAGCUGCAGGAGGUGGCGACAGAGAUGAAGGAAAAGGCAGGUGAGCCCAAGAAAAUUGCACAGCACAAGAGCGUGCAGACGAGGUCCUCCUCCCCGGACGAAGUCCCCACAAGCAAGAAGGUAUCAUCCGUGAGCCUGGCUGAUCUGGGAGCAAGAUGCAAAGGCUCCAGACAUGAGGAAAUCAUCAGUCGCCAGAAAGGUGCCCUGGCUGAGCUGCGGCAAAGAGUCAGAAUGCUAGAAAAGGGUCACCCAUUAGGUUUUGAAGAGAGAAUUGGAGAGCCACUUAGAGUGCUUAAAAAAGGCCCAGCUGAGAAGGGAGAUGAAAGAACAGAGAAGGAGCAGGUGACAACCCUGUUGACAGCAGCGGAUGCUAAUCAGCUUCAAAGCAGUGUUUCCAGAACAGAUCCCAACUUGACCAUAGAGAGGACUGCGAAGCUGGAAAUGGCCGACGCUUUAGACCUCAGUGAGAACAUGUACCUCAGCCUCAUCCAGGAUCUCGCCAACCUGGUCAACGUCAAAGAGCUGACGGGGAUGCAGACGGUGAAACAUCUUCCUUAUGAUGAGAGGGAGAAGCUCGGGGUGCGACGGCAGAAGGACCUUGGGCUGCUCUUCGACAAAAUCAGGAAGCUCAAGGAUCGCCUCGAGAGGAAAGAGUCGCUGCUGAAAGAGUACGAAAGGGAUGUUGGGCAGUCCAGGUACAAAGGACAAACAAGCACACUCUGCAAGCCUGCCAGUCUGAGCUGGCCAAAUUGGGUGACAAGAUCUACCGAGAAGCUGAAGAGAAGGCUUUGCUGAAAGAAGCUCUGGAGAGGACUAAAUUGCAGCUGACUCAGGAGAAGAAGCUGAACAGGGCUCUCAGACAGCAUAAGGAUGAACAGGCUUGAAGGCAUCACUUAGGAGCAAGGAAGGAGAAAAUCUUGGAGAAACCCAUAGUCACAUGCCAUCGAGUUCUGUCCUCAUCCCCGAUGCUAGAGAUGGAGUAUUGUUAGGGCAUCUCUCUGUCUCUCACUAAAGGCAGCAGGUUGCUGGGGCUUGACUUGCAAACUGAGUUACAGCAGCAGCCCCUAAGAAACCAUUCCCUGAAAAGCAGGUGGUUGCAGGGCCAGUAGCAGCCUGUAAGAAACGAGUGCACUGCAGCGCCUCUGCGUAGGAGCGAUCCUGCUUGCCCAAGGAAAGCAACAGAGGAGGAGGAGGAAGAUUCUGGCCAGUUCCUUGUCCAAGCUUGUAAAUAGAAGAUGCUGCUACAACAUUGCACAAAACACCUGGUGUCUUAUUAUACAGAUAUAUAGACAGUAUAUAUAUAUAUGUAUAGACUUAUUUGUACAGAUGAUACUCAUAUAUGGUACAUUGUAUCUUGAUUAUGAGAAAUGUAUGGAGACUCAACUCAAAAUUAUGUAUAAAUUCUUAAGAUCUGACACCCGUAACAGGGUUUUUUUGUGGGGGAGGGAAGAGAGAUGGAUUGUAUCCAGUUGGUCCUACUCAAAGUAGACCCAUUGAUGGAGGUAGUCAUGACUAACCUAGGUCCAUGAAUUUCAGUGCGUUACUUUUGAGUAGGACUAGGUUGGAUGCAACCCUUUGUUCAAUCUGGAAUCCCAUCUUUUGGAAUCGUGGACCUGGUCCUUUUGUACAUCAUCAUUUGACAGAUUUUAUUUAUUUAUUUAUUUAUGCAUUGGUGGGGAGGUUGAGCUAGAUGACCCCUGAGAGGUCUCUUCCAAAUCUGCCUCCCAUCUUAGAGGAAGGUUUGCAGGAGUAUUUUGGCCAAGCAUGGGAAAAGGCACAAAGUCAGACAGCAGAUGACCAGGAACACAGCUAGCAAAAACAGGAGAUACCAAGCACCAAGCUCACAGAGGAGCAGCUUUGAAUGUUGGCCAAACGCUGAUCUGGAGUCAGCUGAGAGUUUUAGUAAGUCCUGUAAAGGGAAAGUUUUUCAUUCAGAGGCAUCUCUACAUAAAGUUGGCAAAGUCUUUUGUCCACAACCCGGAAGAGCCACAACCAGUGCUUUUUUUCUUUUUAAAAAAACAUAUUUAGGAGCACUCUCAUUUUUACUCCAGAAAGUCACCAUUUUAUAGUUCAGAUCAGGAAAAAUAAAUACAGUAAAUGGACAAAAGUACAAAGAUUCACAAAAUGUUGAGGGGUAUGCGUACCCCUGCAUACCCCCAGAAAAAAAGCACUGGCCACAACCAUUGUAGGCAAUCCUGAGCAAGAUGAAUCUACAGUGUGACUUGGUAUAAGGAAACUUCCCAUGUUCCUAAACUUUGCAAAAGGUGGAAGGGAUUAACUUCCUGUGUUCCUAUGCAGGCCUGAGCCUGGUCAGUGCUUGGAGGGGAGACCGCCUGGGUACCACGAUAAAAGACACGUGACAUACAAAGCACAUAUAAAAGGUGGAACUGUGUCACUGAUUACCCUUGCCUUCGCAGUUGGGGGAAGCCCAGAGAAAGACCAGGGGAAUUGAUCUCCUGGGAGAAAUCAUCAGGAUGUUUUACAUACAGAUGUGCUGAUAACACUAGUAUCCAUAACCAAGAACCUUUCCGGUUUACUCCAGAGCCCCCUUGGCCACAUCUGCACUCUCUCUUUCCGCAAUAUACAAGGGUUUAUUUCAGGACAGCACACAACCUUGCACGACUCCUCUGCCUCAGAACAUUUUGCAACAGCCAUCCCCAUCUGUUCCACUAGGACUGGUUGGCGCCAGAUCUUCCCAGUAGAAUUCUGGAGUAAUUUGUUCAUGUUCCGUUAGCAUUAAUUGCACCCUCCAAAAAUAACCGUUUGCUAGCCCCCGUUAGUUCCCAGCAAUUCCGCGAGCUGACCUUGCCAGCAGCCAACUCCUGGCAUCUGCGUCUUGAGGCUCUAAGUCAGAAGUUGACAUCAUUCCCCCUCUUUUGCUCUAGAUGAGUUUUGCUCUUCUAAUCCCAUUCAAAAUGUUGUCUGAUAAUUCUGCCAUCCAUAAAACAAUCUGUUACGUUAAUGAAAAGCUUUGCACUUUCAAGCACAGAAAAGGGUUCUCUUCCCAUUUUCACCGCCACCACUCCCAGUCAUCCAUCAAAACAGAUUAAAUCCACCAUCUUUAAAUAAACUAAAAAUCCCCCACUCACCCAGAUUGGCCUCCUAUCAUGAAGAGGGGGGGGGGCAUGUUUUCUUAGGAAAUCACUGACUAUCCAGAACUGCCAUGUGGAGCCAACCUGUUGCCGUCCUCGGUGUUGUCAAAAUAGGCAGCAACAAGCACAAAUCAAAGCUAUCCAAAUAAUGCACAUUGCCAGGAAUCUCAAAAAUACAGCGCCCAAGUUAUGAAUGUUCUGUUAAAUCCAGAAAGCCAUCAUUUAGAAGAGCACGUCUCCAUCUGGACUCGGAUCUGUGUGGGUACAAAUCUCGGUUUUCCACGAUUGCGAAGGGAUCGAGCUGUACGUUUACAGGGCUGAGCAUUUUGCACGAGUCUAAAGGGGAUUUUUUAACUUUUCAUUUGCAGAUUCCUAAACUGCUUCACAACCAAAAGUUACCAGAGCAAUGUAUAAUAAAACCUAGACCACAAAAGAUUACAAACACAGUAAAUUAAAAAACAAUACCAUCUCUACAGUUGUACAAUUAAUUCCAUAAAAUGACUAGGCCGUCCUUCAGGGAAAGUCUUCCUAAACAAAAAUAUCUCCACUAGAUGUCAAAAACACCAGGCACCCGGUUUCUAGUGCACCUAAGGGCAGUACUCAUAACACCACCUUAUCAAAGGCUUGCUUCCAGCACAGAGAUGGAGAAAUAUGUCGAUUUCAUAUUAUUUCGGUUUCUUGUUUUUUCAGUUCAGUUCUUGUUCAGUUCUCCACAUUUCCACAGCAAUUUUCAGCUAUUGAUUUUAAGUGUGCACACACAAAAAUAGGCCAGCAUUUUAGAGCACAUUUCUCCCAAAGGCCUCACUCAGUGUAAAGGCAGUUUCCUAAGUUGCUAUGUUCUUUCCCCACAAGACGAAGGAAAGGAGACUUUUAUUUUAAGGCUAAUAGUGGGACUAGGGGUGGCUGGGUUGUUGGGAUCCCAGCUAAGGAGGGAAGACAUAAACCUC